rnacentral:rRNA from 1 species
UGCAAGUCGAACGCAGUAGCAAUACUGAGUGGCAAACGGGUGAGUAUAAUGUGGGAAUCUGCCUUUUGGUUUGGAAUAACACGGGGAAACUUGUGCUAAUACCGAAUAAGCCUUUACGGGGAAAGUUUUAAUGCCGAAAGAUGAGCCCGCACUUGAUUAGCUAGUUGGUAAGGUAAAAGCUUACCAAGGCAAUGAUCAAUAGCUGUUCUUAGAGGAAGACCAGCCACAUUGGGACUGAGACACGGCCCAGACUCCUACGGGAGGCAGCAGUGGGGAAUCUUGCACAAUGGGGGAAACCCUGAUGCAGCGAUGCCGCGUGAGUGAAGAAGGCCUUUGGGUUGUAAAACUCUUUCGUCGGGGAAGAAAAUGACUGUACCCGAAUAAGAAGGUCCGGCUAACUUCGUGCCAGCAGCCGCGGUAAUACGAAGGGACCUAGCGUAGUUCGGAAUUACUGGGCUUAAAGAGCUCGUAGGUGGUUAAAAAAGUUGAUGGUGAAAUCCCAAGGCUUAACCUUGGAACUGCCAUCAAAACUUUUUAGCUAGAGUGUGAUAGAGGUAAGUGGAAUUUCUAGUGUAGAGGUGAAAUUCGUAGAUAUUAGAAAGAACACCAAAUGCGAAGGCAACUUACUGGGUCACUACUGACACUGAGGAGCGAAAGCAUGGGUAGCGAAGAGGAUUAGAUACCCUCGUAGUCCAUGCCGUAAACGAUGUGUGCUAGACGUUGGAAAUAUAUUUCUCAGUGUCGCAGCGAAAGCAUUAAGCACACCGCCUGGGGAGUACGACCGCAAGGUUAAAACUCAAAUGAAUUGACGGGGACCCGCACAAGCAGUGGAGCAUGUGGUUUAAUUCGAGGAUACGCGCAGAACCUUACCAACACUUGACAUGUUCGUCGCGAGCCUAAGAGAUUAGGCUUUUCAGUUUGGCUGGACGAAAC